CUUCCACCCCUCUGUAGGCGCCUCGCUGUCUGGGCACUGGCUGUGCUGUCCCCAGCCUUGAAGGCAAGGGAGGGCCCCUCCAGCUCAGGGUCAAGGCUGGCUUCUCGGGAGCUGGCAAGCGUCCAACUGGUGGAGCUCGACCACCUCCUCCUGUCAGAUGCUCACAGCUCAGUCCCUGGGCAGGGGCCGCAGGAAGCUUGCAUUCACCCCAAAACCUCCCGGCUGGAGAGGAGGCCGCUCACCUGGAAUCACAUCAGCUGAGUUACAGCCUUAGAUUCAGGAGGAUGCUGUGCUUCCCAGCAAAUGCAACUGCCCCCAGGCAGACGUAACUCCUAAAGCCUAUUAGUUCUGUACAACUUAGUAUGAACUGGUGAGUAGGCCCUUCUCAAGAGCUAGCUGGCAGGGGAGAGAUCUGGAUAAGAGGGAAGAAGGAAAUUUGGGGGUCUAGAGGAUGGGAACACAUUUGUGUGGGAGCUUGCCUCGAAGUCGGGAAUGGGGCAGAGAGCUCUGUAGACGUCAUCUGGUCCAUCCCCCUGCAACCGGCACCCUCUCCUGAACCGGCCAAAGAGGGCGGUCAUCCAUCUGACUCUCCAAGCUUGAAAACACCUCAAGAAGCCUCCCCGGCCAGACAAGAAACUAAAGAAGAAGAAGCACUCAUCACCUACUGGGUGCAGGAUACGUCCUGGGUCCCGGGGGAACACACGACGAGCAAGUUUCAGUGUUCUCCAAGAGCUUGUGAUCUACGAGGAGGAAAUAUGGGCUUUGAGGCAGAUUUCUGAAUGCUGUGCGUGUCCAGGCACCCGUGCUGACUGGAAGGACCCAGAUAACCAGAGAAAGACAGGCAGGUGGGACCCAGGAUGUGAUGUUUCCAUCUCCCAGGUCCACGAGCUUCUGUUUGUUGUUGUUGUUGUUUUGGUGUUUUGGUGUGUUUUGUUUUUGUUUUUUUAGCUUUUUAAAAAUUUUUUUUUAUUUUGAGAGAGAUCAUGCAUGAACAGGGGAGAGGGGGAGAGGGAGAAAAAGGGAGAGAGAAUCCGAAGUAGGCUCCACACUUAGCAC
rnacentral:lncRNA from 1 species